rnacentral:rRNA from 1 species
UACGUAGGGUGCGAGCGUUAAUCGGAAUUACUGGGCGUAAAGGGUGCGCAGGCGGUUAUAUAAGACAGAUGUGAAAUCCCCGGGCUCAACCUGGGAACUGCGUUUGUGACUGUAUGACUAGAGUACGGUAGAGAGGGGUGGAAUUCCUGGUGUAGCAGUGAAAUGCGUAGAUAUCAGGAGGAACAUCGAUGGCGAAGGCAGCCCCCUUGGACCUGUACUGACGCUCAUGCACGAAAGCGUGGG